UCAGUUCUGUGCCCAUUCAGAGGAGAAAUCAUGCCAACGUUGUUCACUGUAUUCUGGUUCACUGGUCAACAGGAUUCCCUUUUCUCAAAUUUCACAUAGUUUGCUAGUUGCUCUGAUUAGUGAGAGUGAGAGCAGAGUGCCAUUUAUUACUGUGGAGCCAGGUAUAAACAGUAGAUCUAGUCUCUCUCUUCUCAAAAACCACCUCUUCCAAGUUUAUUGUACGAGACCUUGAACAAACCCCUCCCAGCCAGAUGGGUUGUCAUCUUUGCCGGUAUUUUAAUGUAUAGUGACGGCGUUUCAUUUUUUUUUUCUUUUGUUGAGCAAGUGAGCUCAGUAGAGGCAUCAGUUAAAUCUCCAAUAGUGUAAUACUGUUUCAAUGAUCUGCUUUCUCAUCUUCUGUUCCCUGGCAGGUUUGAGUCUGGCUUUCGAUGUCCAUCAGUCACCAUCUGAAUUUAUCAUUAACCCUAAAGCCAAAGUUCAGAUUUUCUGCACCCAUGAUAAAACUGACUACUGGAUGAUGCUGUGGUACCAGCGCUCUCCCGGAGACACGGCUAUGAGGCUCAUCGGUUAUCUCUAUUAUGGAGAUGUCAAAAUGGAAGACUCAUACAAUAAGGAUUUUGAGAUCUCAGGAGACUUGAGUGGGAAUACAGCAAAGAAUGCAUCUCUUAUAUUUAAAAAUGUGGAACACAAGCAUACUGCAAUUUUCUACUGUGCAGCUAGCAAAGCACACUGACACAACUUGUCUCUGAACUUCACAAAUCCAUCAUCAGUGGUUUUAAAUAAUACAGAAUAAACUGCUUCAUCGCACCUGCUUUUGUGGCUUGUCAAAUACACCGGAGUGGUUAAAUUCCAUGAGGAAAUCUGCCAACAGCUAAACAAAUUUUAUGAAGGAAUCAGGUGAAAGGUCAAUGUGUAGAUGAAUGAAGUUAAACCAUUGUAGUAUUUAACUACACAUUUUAAAUCUACAGUAUAAUCUCCCUGGUGUAGAUUUGUCUGGAGCUUAAGGUCAGUCAUUCUGCAUGUACUUAUGUUCUUAUCAGAUAAACCUAUUACACUGUGAUGCUGUGGCAACAACUUUUACUAGAAAACAAGUCUCCUGAUCUAUUAAAAAAACAACAACAAAAAAAACUAAUCACAGUGCAUCUACAGUCCAGUCACAUACAGCAGGUGUCUAACGGUCUUUGUAACGCUAAUGCUGGAUAUAAUCAAAAAAUCUGCCUUGGGGAUAAAACCAGAAAUGAUUGGUUUUUCACUUUUUUUUCACCUUCUAGGUGUUUCAGUGGGAGUUCAGAUUUAUCAGUCACCUCCCGAUGUCAUCAGAGAAGCUGGUCAAGAUGUGCAGCUUUACUGCACACAUGGACAAAGUGAAUUCAGAGUAAUGCUGUGGUACCAGCAGCCACCAGAGGAC